rnacentral:rRNA from 1 species
UAAUACCGGAUAAGCCCUUACGGAGAAAGAUUUAUCGCCAAAGGAUCGGCCCGCGUCUGAUUAGCUAGUUGGUGGGGUAAUGGCCCACCAAGGCGACGAUCAGUAGCUGGUCUGAGAGGAUGAUCAGCCUCAUUGGGACUGAGACACGGCCCAAACUCUUACGGGAGGCAGCAGUAGGGAAUAUUGGACAAUGGGCGCAAGCCUGAUCCAGCCAUGCCGCGUGAGUGAUGAAGGCCUUAGGGUUGUAAACCCCUUUCAGCGGGGAAGAUAAUGACGGUACCCGCAGAAGAAUCC